GUGAAGAAGGUCUUCGGAUCGUAAAACUCUGUUAUUAGGGAAGAACAAAUGUGUAAGUAACUAUGCACGUCUUGACGGUACCUAAUCAGAAAGCCACGGCUAACUACGUGCCAGCAGCCGCGGUAAUACGUAGGUGGCAAGCGUUAUCCGGAAUUAUUGGGCGUAAAGCGCGCGUAGGCGGUUUUUUAAGUCUGAUGUGAAAGCCCACGGCU
rnacentral:rRNA from 1 species